UUUGUUAUCUGGCUUUCUGCUAUCCACUGACUCUGGUUGCAGACCAGAAGUAAAAUGUUCACUUUGAGAUCAAAUUAGGCCCACCAGUGCAAACCUUAGUUGUGGCAACAGGAACAUUUAAUUCGCUUCUGGCAGUUUGAUGCUGAUUGACAUCUCAUUUCAACGUUAGGCAGCGCAUUUUUCAAAUCGAGGACGAGAGAAUAUUAAUAAGGUUAGUUGCGAAAUACAUAUGAAUAAGAAGAACAUACAGAAGAAGAGAGAAUAUUUCCACAGCUCCACGAACUCUUUAAAGCGAUUGGCGAAAGCAUCAUAUUUGAAGGUCAAUUAAACAGGAAAAGAAAGGGAGAGAUAUCAGACUUCUGUUCCAAAUGGGCCCAAUGGUAAGCCAGGCCUAUACUUUAAACUACACAUUUUAGUUAGUAGCUGUUAGUAUCUAAUCUUGUGGAUCCUUUAAUUAUACAUUUCCAUAGAGAUAUGACACAUUAUUUAACGUCUAUUUCAGACAUGUUUGCAAACAUUUCCCAGAACUCUUUCAGGAGCUUUCAACAGCUCCUGGUAUAAGGACAAUUCAUGGCUUGAAUAUUCUGUAAAUCAAGAUUAAUUUUUCUCUGCCCAAUACACCUGAAUCUGCCUUCACAUCACAGUCGCAGUUUAAAGAUUCUGGGUUUAAGCUCCAUUCGAAGGCAGAGCAUCAUAUCAAUGCUAUGUAUGCUUGGGAUCAGUAUAAAAGGGCCAUUGACAGCAACUCAUCAAUGUUAGAUGUCAUAAAUGAGGACCGGGAAAAGAAAGUGAAGGAAAACUGUACUUACCUUAAAACAAUUGCAGAUGUGCUCCUACUAAUUGCCACUCAAAAUAUAGCGCAGAGGUCAUCGAGAGUCUAAUGACUCUCACAACAAGGGUCAUUUUUUGACAAUCUUAGAAGAAAUAGCAAUGUAGGACCCUCUCAUAGAGAAAAAGAUGAAUGCAUGUGGCAAUGCUAAGUACACAAGCCACCAAAUCCAGAAGGAAGUUGUUGAGGGCUUAGCUGAGAUGGUACAAAGUAAAAUAAUAAGAGAAGUAAAAGAAAGUGAAGUUUUUAGUGUAAUUGCAGAUGAAACCAAAGAUUUAAAGAAAAAAGAACAAAUGGCUUUAGUUGUGAGGUACAAUUACAAUGGGGCCAUCCACGCAGCAGGUCUCACAAAAAUGAUAAUUGAUUGCCUUGAAAAACAUGGUCUGGACUACAUGGCAUGCCAUAAUCUGAGGGACAGUCUUCCAGCAGUUAUGAGAGUGCUACAGGAUAUCACACUUGAAAAUAGUGGUGAUGGAUCAGUGGAGGCAAGGGGCAUUUUUCUCAGAUAGAUUUACAUUUCAUAGGGCUUUUGGUUACCUUUUGUAAAGUGCUUGGUGAUGCCAAAUGUCUUUCUGACAUGUUCCAAUCAAGCUCUCUUGACCUAGCAAGGGCUGUGGAUCUAGUAGGUGCCCUUAUAGACAUUUCAGGACUAUAGAAGUGAGUGUUACUUUGGAGAACUAUGGAAAGAGGUUGAAGAGAUUGCCGAGCACUGCAAAAUAAGUGUACAAACAGUGUGUAAAAAAACCCAGCCUAAAACAAGCUUAAGAUUUCACGACUCAUUGAUGAUGAGCACUGUAGGACAGAAAAAUAGUGACCAAAGUGAUGGUGAGAGCCUCCAAAGAAGCUCUCACCAAGCUCUCACCAGGUGCUUGACAGUCUCACAGCUGAGCUGCAGAGGUGUUUUUCAAAGAAGAAUUGCAAGAUAAUGCAAGGGGUCCAGUCUCUCAAUCCAAAGAAUACAACGUUCUUGAAUGAGGAGCCUCUGUUUGCCUUUGCUCAGAACUUUGAGUCAGAUUUAGAGGACCUCAACAUGAGGUUCAUCAAACCAAGCG
rnacentral:lncRNA from 1 species